GGCGCUGUGGCGUAAUGGAUAAGGUGUCGGUAUCCUAAACCGAUGAUUCAAGGUUCGAGUCCUUGCUGGGUGG
rfam:Angiostrongylus cantonensis strain Taiwan genome assembly, scaffold: ACAC_contig0000364